UCCAAGCCAAACAGCUAGGAGACAGACAGCAGCCCAGAAAAUCUCAGCCGCUGCUGCGGGAGGGCCCUGCUGGCGGCGGGGCAGCUGGGACCGGGCUAACGAGAGAAAGGCAGCAGAGCCAACCUCGCUGGGGCUUCACUCAGUGGCCAGACUCUGGGAAGGAGGCAUGAUCCUCGGACCAGGCCACUGCGUUUAGGCUCCGAUCUAAGUACUGAUUCAUACAGACGGCUGCCUCAGAAGAAUUGCCUCCAUUCUUUCGAGAGCCUAACAAACCACCUGGAGCUCCCUGGGCCUGAGAUUCCACAUUUGUAAAAUGAUGCUGAACUGGAAGGUGUCUGUGGAUCCAGUCAAGGUUGGAAAAGAAUACUAUCCUACACUUACGCGGAUGCCCUGAAAACAAUUGUGGUUACCUCGCAGAGAACACCCGGCCUUGCAGCAAUGCCUGGUGGCUUUGGCAUUGGAUCUUCAGGGGAGCAAAUGGACAGAAGGUAGUGGGCAGAGUGCUGGGUCAGCAGGCAGGUGGCCAUGGUGCAGAAACCUUCCCAGGGGCCGGCCACACUCAGGUCAAGGAAGAUGUGGAGUUUGGAAGCACCAGGAUUCUGUGUGAUCGGAAUCAUUCAUUCAUUCAGCAGGCACUGAGUUGGAGCACAAGGGGACAGUGGAGUCCAGAAAACUAAGAUGUCCUCACCCAGCAGUUUAUGCUUCAGCAGAGAACAUAGAAAUUAAGCAACUACACAAAUAAUUAUUCAGUCACAAAUGUAGAACUUAAAUUCUCCCUUCUCUAUGACGUCAUUCAUUUUUUCCCCUCUACCCUUUCAUUCCUACCAGCCUACAAAUG
rnacentral:lncRNA from 1 species